UGUGACUGCGUACCUUUUGUAUAAUGGGUCAGCGACUUAUAUUCUGUAGCAAGGUUAACCGAAUAGGGGAGCCGAAGGGAAACCGAGUCUUAACUGGGCGUUAAGUUGCAGGGUAUAGACCCGAAACCCGGUGAUCUAGCCAUGGGCAGGUUGAAGGUUGGGUAACACUAACUGGAGGACCGAACCGACUAAUGUUGAAAAAUUAGCGGAUGACUUGUGGCUGGGGGUGAAAGGCCAAUCAAACCGGGAGAUAGCUGGUUCUCCCCGAAAGCUAUUUAGGUAGCGCCUCGUGAAUUCAUCUCCGGGGGUAGAGCACUGUUUCGGCAAGGGGGUCAUCCCGACUUACCAACCCGAUGCAAACUGCGAAUACCGGAGAAUGUUAUCACGGGAGACACACGGCGGGUGCUAACGUCCGUCGUGAAGAGGGAAACAACCCAGACCGCCAGCUAAGGUCCCAAAGUCAUGGUUAAGUGGGAAACGAUGUGGGAAGGCCCAGACAGCCAGGAUGUUGGCUUAGAAGCAGCCAUCAUUUAAAGAAAGCGUAAUAGCUCACUGGUCGAGUCGGCCUGCGCGGAAGAUGUAACGGGGCUAAACCAUGCACCGAAGCUGCGGCAGCGACGCUGAUGCGUUGUUGGGUAGGGGAGCGUUCUGUAAGCCUGUGAAGGUGUGCUGUGAGGCAUGCUGGAGGUAUCAGAAGUGCGAAUGCUGACAUAAGUAACGAUAAAGCGGGUGAAAAGCCCGCUCGCCGGAAGACCAAGGGUUCCUGUCCAACGUUAAUCGGGGCAGGGUGAGUCGACCCCUAAGGCGAGGCCGAAAGGCGUAGUCGAUGGGAAACAGGUUAAUAUUCCUGUACUUGGUGUUACUGCGAAGGGGGGACGGAGAAGGCUAUGUUGGCCGGGCGACGGUUGUCCCGGUUUAAGCGUGUAGGCUGGUUUUCCAGGCAAAUCCGGAAAAUCAAGGCUGAGGCGUGAUGACGAGGCACUACGGUGCUGAAGCAACAAAUGCCCUGCUUCCAGGAAAAGCCUCUAAGCAUCAGGUAACAUCAAAUCGUACCCCAAACCGACACAGGUGGUCAGGUAGAGAAUACCAAGGCGCUUGAGAGAACUCGGGUGAAGGAACUAGGCAAAAUGGUGCCGUAACUUCGGGAGAAGG
rnacentral:rRNA from 1 species